AACGUACGCUGGCGGCACGCCUAACACAUGCAAGUCGAACGAAGUAGCAAUACUUAGUGGCAGACGGGUGAGUAACAUGUAGGUAUCUGCCCUUUGGCCUGGAAUAACACGAGGAAACUUGUGCUAAUACCGGAUAAGUCUUUACGGAGAAAGCUUUAUGCACCAUUGGAUGAGCCUGCACUUGAUUAGUUUGUUGGUGGGGUAAUGGCCUACCAAGACUGUGAUCAAUAGCUGAUUUGAGAGGAUGAUCAGCCACAUUGGGACUGAGACACGGCCCAAACUCCUACGGGAGGCAGCAGUGGGGAAUCUUGCACAAUGGAGGAAACCCUGAUGCAGCGAUGCCGCGUGAGUGAAGAAGGCCCUUGGGUUGUAAAGCUCUUUCGUCGGGGAAGAAAAUGACUGUACCCGAAUAAGAAGGUCCGGCUAACUUCGUGCCAGCAGCCGCGGUAAUACGAAGGGACCUAGCGUAGUUCGGAAUUACUGGGCUUAAAGAGUUCGUAGGUGGUUGAAAAAGUUAGUGGUGAAAUCCCAGAGCUUAACUCUGGAACUGCCAUUAAAACUUUUCAGCUAGAGUAUGAUAGAGGAAAGCAGAAUUUCUAGUGUAGAGGUGAAAUUCGUAGAUAUUAGAAAGAAUACCAAUUGCGAAGGCAGCUUUCUGGAUCAUUACUGACACUGAGGAACGAAAGCAUGGGUAGCGAAGAGGAUUAGAUACCCUCGUAGUCCAUGCCGUAAACGAUGUGUGUUAGACGUUGGAAAUUUAUUUUCAGUGUCGCAGGGAAACCGAUAAACACACCGCCUGGGGAGUACGACCGCAAGGUUAAAACUCAAAUGAAUUGACGGGGACCCGCACAAGUAGUGGAGCAUGUGGUUUAAUUCGAAGAUACGCGCAGAACCUUACCAACACUUGACAUGUUCGUCGCGACUCUAAGAGAUUAGAGUUUUCGGUUCGGCCGGACGAAACACAGGUGCUGCAUGGCUGUCGUCAGCUCGUGUCGUGAGAUGUUGGGUUAAGUCCCGCAACGAGCGCAACCCUCACUUUUAGUUGCCAUCAUUAAGUUGGGCACUCUGAAAGAACUGCCAGUGAUAAGCUGGAGGAAGGUGGGGAUGACGUCAAGUCCUCAUGGCCCUUACGUGUUGGGCUACACACGUGCUACAAUGGUAUCUACAACAGGAAGCAAGACUGCGAAGUUAAGCAAAUCCCUAAAAGAUACCUCAGUUCGGAUUGCACUCUGCAAACUCGAGUGCAUGAAGCUGGAAUUACUAGUAAUCGUGGAUCAGCGUGCCACGGUGAAAUGCGUUCCCGGGUCU
rnacentral:rRNA from 1 species